CCCGGCUCUUUGCUUUUUUUAAUAUUUAGUCGUUAUAUACAUUCAUAUCUCCUCUGCUGAGACAUCUUUCAUGGACCUUGGCAUUUCUUUCCCACCUAGUCUCCAUCCUGGGUUCUCCCCUCAUCUCUCUCCGCUAAUCCCCUCAGAGACCAAAUCCCACCUUCGGGCUCGUCGAAACGUUCUUGGGGCCUUUGGCUCCUCUGUCCCACGCUGGUGCCUAGUCAUCUACCCAAGCUGGUGGGUCUUUAGAACUGCUUGCUCUUUCUGUUUCCUUCUUUGAAGACACAGUGUCCGUUCCAAAUUCUUAUUUGCUCCGCUCAUUACUGCUGCACCUCCCAGCCCUCUCCAACAGCUGGCUCCUCCCCUGUGGACCACGUGGCCAGGGACAACCACAGGGGAAGGUGUACUUCUGGGUUUCUGCAGCUGUGUCCUCAUCAGUGAGGUGAAGGCAAAGAGGUCCUUGUCUCAGGGCAGAGCCUCCAGCAGGGCCACCUGGGCUCAGAGGUGGCCCUGCGCUCCCAGGAGCCCCACUCUCAAGGAAUCUCCCAGCUAGGUGCUUCUCCUCCUCAAACCACUUUUACCUGGGCUUGGGGAAGAAUCAAAAUGAGAGAAAGUAAUGGUUAGUGUUCCGUUGUUAACCUGACAGAAUCUGAAAUGGCCUGAAAGACAGCCUCCAUGUGCACCUAUAAGGCAUUAAUUAUUCAGCUAGCCUCUGAGCAUGCCUGUGCAGGGGUUGUCUAGAUUAGGUUAACUGAGGGAGGCUCCAGUCCAGCUCACUUCACCCUGUCUUGAUGCUGACCUAAAUCCAGAGGCUGGAGUGUAUCUAUAGCUGCAGAGCUACAUUUCCAUCCAGGACGACAAAAAGAGGGCACCGCCUCCUGAGGAAAGUCCCUCCUUCCCUCAGCCUGGGUUCAUCUCUGCACAUGCUCUACAUCAUUUGUACCUGAAGUUGCUUCUUUUGCUUGCAUCUUCAGUUGCAGUGGGGACAAAGGCCAGCAUCUCGACUUGUUGGCCAAUUUUUUCUGGAAGUGAGGUGGUUCCUUCUACCUGUCAAUCAAGGUCCCUUCUGGAGCCAGAGACCAAUCCGGAUGAUGUUGCCAAGUCCUAAAGAUGAGACCCCGGGGAGGAAGGCUGGGUAGAGCCUGUGGCUUGUGGCCUCUCACCACAAGAGCCUUGCUCAGCUUUCCUGCCCCUCUUUCCAGUCAUGUUGUAACCUGACACUUGAGUCCAUAGUCCACUGCCUCAGUUUCCCUGCACUCCAAAAGAAAUCAGAAACAGAAAGUGGCAAAGGAAAGUGAAUUUUCUAGAGUUUGGACAAACGGGGGAGAGAAAGAACCCACUCUCCCACUGCUGUGUCUCUGGCAGUGAAUUUUAGGAGGAGACAAAGGCCAGGUGACACACAGAUUUAGCUGUGAGGAACAGCUGACCGUCUUUUCCUGGGAGAGAGUGACGAAGCCCCAGGCUGCCUCCAUUCUCAGAUGGAAGGGUCUGUUCCAAAGUUCCAAGUUACGCUAUUACCGCAGGCAUCUCUCAAGCAGUAUUUGUCCAGCACUGGCUGCCCAAAGCCACCAGCUUUCCCUGGCAGGAGUCUCCACUCUCCAUUGCCUUCCAUGUAACCCUCUCUGUCCUCUGUCUCUCCCCACAGAAUUCUCUAAAGUUAUCUGGGAGGCCUUUCUUUCCUCAUAGACAAAACUGUGAGGUCCACAAGGUCACACAGUACACAAUGGUGGGCUAUGCAGUGAGUGUCUGCAGAGACUGUUCUCUGGUGGCUUAGUGUCUUCUCCGGGCCUCUCCUGCCUCCUAACCCUUAAGGAGGAGUGUUCCCCAAGUCCUCAGCUCCACCCUGCCCUCUGUGGCCUCUUGAUCCUGACUUCCUCAGCACUUCUCCAUAGUGACUUUGUAACCCUGGACUUCUGCCUCUGCACGUCUUCCUCAGAGUGCUUUCCUUUGAAUCUCACAUCUACCUGGCCCUCUCUAAGGUGGCCAUUCCCUUCAAGUCCACUGUCACUGUGGUUGACAAAAGACCAUGAGCAGUCGCUGUAAUUUCCCCAACUGGCCCUGCAGCCUCUGCUCUUCCCUUCCCCCACCCAGUCUCUGAAAUGCAGACGAGCGGGUAUUUCACAAACAACAGUCUAUAGCACCCUUCUGUGCAAGGCUGCCCAUUGGUUGGCUUCAAAAUCAAUUCACAACAAGGCAGUUAGGAUGGCAGCCUAAGCUCUGAUACCCCAUCCCCGCACUGUCUCUGCCUCUGGUGAGGGGUUGUUGCUCAUCUCCCAAGAGGCUGUGACCCUGCUUCUCUUCAGUGCUUCUGGAACCUCGCUGAUUGCUCCCCUGACUAGGGUGUAAACACCUUGUCCUUCGCUUCUGUUUUUCUAACAGCUCUCAGAGUGUUCCUACAGUAGAAAUACUGGAUGAAGGAAUGAAUCAAUGCUCUGCUCUGUAGUUCAAAACCUGCCUCAAGUAUAUUUGUUAUGGUGACAUCUUGGUGUCAGAGUGGAAGGUCAGAUAAAUGUUUUUAAAUUGUUAUUUGACAAGUUCAAAAACAGGGAAGGGACAAAGGUCUGGGGAAGAAAUGGACCGCUUAUUGGCUAGCUACUUAUGGCUUCUGAGUAGGCAUCUUUAGGAAAUGCUACGGCAUCUAAUCACUACUGGAAAACUCCAAGAGGUUGUUUGCUUUGUUUCUUCCUGUACCAGGGAAUAGAACUCAGAGCCUGUGUGAUAGACAAGUACUCUAGGAGAUAAGGGCUAUCCAACUGUUAUAUCUGCCACCCCAUUGAUCAUCAGGAUUAACGCGGCUGAUUUGCUGAGCUAAGCAGGUGUCCACUUCCUCUCUCACUGCUCGUGUAUACCUUUUGCAAGCUGUACUUGAUUGAAGAGGACAGUCUUUCCUAAUAGAAGAGGCCCACUCUUUGGUCAAGGGUACGCGAGGAUCUGGAUUCCCUGGGAAGAACCUCUAAACAAGCUCCUAAGGUGUCAAAGAUGAAGGUUCCUAAGUGUGGUUUGAACAGAUCAAUUUUUUAGCAGAACUACCUUCUAUGAGCCAAAUAUGGCUUCCUCAGGCUGUCCAGAACUAACAACAGGCUUUCUUCUGUUUUGCUUUCUGCUCGGAAGAAAACCAAUGAUCUUUCACACCAUCUUUAAAUUCAAUGGUACUAAUGCAUAUAACCAAAUAAACUUGCAUCAUUAAAACAGAA